AAUAAUUCGGGAACUAUGAAGGUAAACAUUAAAGCCCAAACUAAAUAAUUAUUCGGCCCAGCAUGCUGCUAGCCCAAUUGUGACCAACAUUGUUAAACCAAGAAUCAAUCUUGCUUCAACAAAAUUUAUUAAUUAAUCACAAAAGUAAUAUGAUUUGCAAUGCCUAAACCUUUGGAAAAAGAAAAAAAAAACUUGAAGAAAUAAAUCAUUAAAAUCCCCAAUUUUUUAGGGUAAACGUUCCUCAUCACGAAUUGUUGAAACAGAAAGCGGCGAUGCCAACAUUUGCAAUAAAAAGAGAGAAACUGCUAUAAAUCAACAGACUAAAGCAAUCACCAUUCUAUUCCCCUUUCACAGCGUAUGUAUGAAUAGAUGGGUAAUUGAAGGAGUGCUUAGCUCGAAUUAGUCUGCGGUGGAUCGGAGGAAUUGAGAUCUUGAUCGGAGUGCAGUAUUAUUCCAUCGGAGGGAACGAGGCGAGGAAUCCCAUCAACGAUCGGAUUCGGGUGGGAUCGAAGAUCGACCGACCUUAUUAGUAGUAUGUGAAGGUCGUGAAGCUCUAUCAAAUUUGGUUUUCUGAGUUGUCGUCAUGUGUCAUCUCCGCCCCAAUCAAAGGGCAUCAUAUUGAUCGAGAGACCCUAACCAAUUCAAUUCAAUCCAAUCAUGUCAACCAAGCAAGGAGGAAAAGCCAAGCCUUUGAAGCAACCUAAGGCUGAAAAGAAAGAGUACGACGAGACUGACAAGGCUAAUAUUCAAAAGAAGAAAGAAGAAGAGAAGGCUCUUAAGGAACUUAAGGCAAAGGCCCAGCAAAAGGGGGCAUUUGGCGGUUCUGGUCUGAAGAAAAGUGGCAAGAAAUGAGUCCCAGAAGAAUAGCUAGCUCAUUGCUUGUCCUGUUUGUCAUUUUCUUUGUAAUGUAAUUUAAACAUUUUAGGUUGUUCCACUAAGGGUGUGUGGGUGUAAGAUUGUAUGUUCAACAAUUGAAUCUAUGAAAUGGCUUAUGUCUAA